AUCCAGCUGACGAGUCCCAAAUAGAACGAAACGCGCGUCAAACAGGAU
rnacentral:hammerhead_ribozyme from 1 species